UACGGAGGGUGCAAGCGUUAUCCGGAUUCACUGGGUUUAAAGGGUGCGUAGGCGGCUUGGUAAGUCAGGAGUGAAAGUUUGCGGCUCAACCGUAAAAUUGCUUUUGAUACUGCCAGGCUAGAAUCAGGAUGAGGUCAGCGGAAUGUGGCAUGUAGCGGUGAAAUGCAUAGAUAUGCCAUAGAACACCUAUUGCGAAGGCAGCUGGCUAGACCUGUAUUGACGCUGAGGCACGAAAGCGUGGGGAGCGAACAGG
rnacentral:rRNA from 1 species